GAGAGAGCCCCCGGCUGCAUUUCUAUGCCUGCGGCACAACCAAAGGAGAAGGGGACAGAAGUUGUCGGUGCUGCACUGGGAUUUAAAAGCAAGGAAGAUCAAGUGUAAAGGAUCGGUUUCCCUAAGGUUUGGCUCCCCAACAAUCUGAAUCAUUAAAGCUGGGAAAAUGAGACCGGUCUACUUAACUGGCAAUCCGUAUUGGACUUCCAAGCUUCCAUAUGUCCAUCAUUUGACUGCACUCUGCGGGAAGGAAAGCCACACUGAAUAAGCACUCAUGUUAUCCUCGGCACAGCACCAUAAGGCCUCUUUUGGGUGCUCACACCCGCUGAUGGUUCAAGAGGGUAACAGUGAUGUCAUGCCCCAAGGACAGCUGCACGAGGAUGCCUGAGCCACCUUGCUGCAUUCCACUGGAUUUAUCAUCUAAGACUAUGCAAGAUGUUCAAAGGUCACCACUAAACAUCUUCCUCUCUCCAGAAUCCACACAGAGGCCAGAGACCGGCUUUAAAUAGAUGCCUCAGGCAACUAUAGGACCAAAGGCAUCCCAUCCAGCCUGGAAUACUGUGACUCAGCUUCUGCAAAACAAGUAAAACCUGAACUGUCCCAACCCAAGUCGUCAGUAUUUUACAUGUAAAAAUGCAUGGAAAACCCUGCAUCCUUUCAAGAAUCAUCACAUUAUACAAAAGAGGCAUUUAACUAUAUCAACUA